CAACUGGGCAGAGGAUCCUCCUCACAUCGUGACUGAUGGUCGCAGUGCUGAUCCGUGGGAGAGGUGUUUUGAAGCCGCCUGCUUGUCCGCGGAGCCACAGUGCCAUCUCCUGGCUUGGGCUUCCCUCUCCGCGGCAGGUAGGCUUCAGGAGCCCUGUCGGUGUUUUCUCCUACUCUUUCACCUUUAAUGAUGGUUUAGGGGCAAAGCCUCUCACCUAAAAAAACUCUCCUAACCUUC